AAGGUCCGGGCGUUAUCCGGAUUUAUUGGGUUUAAAGGGAGCGCAGGCGGACUUUUAAGUCAGUUGUGAAAUACGGCGGCUCAACCGUCGAACUGCAGUUGAAACUGGAAGUCUUGAGUGCACGCAGGGAUGUUGGAAUUCAUGGUGUAGCGGUGAAAUGCUCAGAUAUCAUGAAGAACUCCGAUCGCGAAGGCAGAUGUCCGGAGUGCAACUGACGCUGAGGCUCGAAAGCUAGGGUAGCGAA
rnacentral:rRNA from 1 species